rnacentral:tRNA from 1 species
GGCCCUAUGGUCAAGUGGUUAAGACACCGCCCUUUCACGGCGGUAACCCGGGUUCGAGCCCCGGUAGGGUCACCA